ensembl:lincRNA
GGGGGGGGGGGGGGGGGGGGGGGGGGGGGGGGGGGGGGGGUGUUUUUAGUUUUUACCUCAGCGAGGCGGUUUUUUACCUUAGCGAGGCGGUUUUUUUUACCUUCGCAAGGCGGUUUUUAGCUCAGCGAGGCGGUUUUUACCUCAGUGAGGCGGUUUUUAACUCAGCGAGGAGGAUUUUACCUCAGCGAGGUGGUUUUUACCUCAGCGAGGCGGUUUUUUUUUUUUACCUCAGCGAUGCAAUCAGCCGGACGGACUCAAGAGCGGCUUGCCCUUCUGCCUCAGACAAACAUAUCCGAGAUGAGCGAGAAGUGGAGAGACACCUUGAUGAGUGGGGAUAUGUCAAACUCAAGUACAAGUGCUGCGACUUUAGGCCAGGACUCCCCUGGGGGGGCUGCUGAGCUACAAGUGGCGUCUGCCUCUGCAAAAAGGCCACGUACGGAAUCCCAGGCAAACGAAAAGAUGUACGAGAAACUGCACCAAGAGCAGGCCUUGGCUUCCGCACACCCAAUCUCCAGUGCAGAGCUCGAGCAGCGUGUCGGUGAGCUGGUGGAAGAAAUCAAAGCACUGCAGCAAAACAACCAGGCCACGUUGAAAAACUUCAAAGAGAAAUUACUGUCACGGGCGGACAGUCUUUACAAUCUCGUCGCUAUAGCUGUCCAACAUGCAUUUGAGGAGAGCUGCCAAUUGCUGGAGCCCCGAAUUCAGGAGCUUGUUCACCGUAUAAAUCAACUGGAAAAGGUGCUGUCGCUGAGGGCAACCGACUUGAAUAAUAUGAAAAAAACGAAAGAAAGAGGAAACCGCCUCCAGAGAAAAUGCCUGUUUGCUUGUCUAAAUAUUGGCACUUUAUAUUUACAUUUCAAUGUUCAUAUUUGCACUUGUAUCUCGAUGAUGGUUAGUGUCAGUUAUGAAUUAACAACAGGGGAAACGGCUUUUGCAGAAGGCAAUUUAAAUGGCCUGCAUUCUGAAAUUUGCUUUGCUUCACCUUCCAUUUCCUUUUACGCCGCCUUUACCCAGUAUGCCCCACAAACCACUGUGUCCCUUUAUACUUCCCCUUUAUCUCUUCUCACUCCCCUGUCUUAUUCUUCAUCGAUCUAUUGUUACUUAUGUCGCUGUAAGUUUUUUUUGCGUUUUCUCUUAUGUUCCUCCUGAGUCUUGGCUUUCAAUUAUUCAAACCCCGUUGCCUUGUUACUUAACAAGGCAUUACGAGGGUGUUGCUGCUGGUCGAUCCGUGCCUAGUGAAAGCCAGUGACGGCAAACAAACUAUCGUUCGCUUUGGCUGCCUGAUGGAUGUGCCUUGUCAAGAACGGGGGAUAUUAAAACAGCGCCCGUUGACACGUAGUCCGCUUUAAAAGAAGACAUGUGCCUUUUGAGCCCUUGUCAAAUCGUUAACAAGGCAUGUACGCCAGACCAGUGAUUUGUACCGAAUGCACUUAGACAUAAAUAAAUAAAAAUAAUAUGAUGUGGCUUUAAUCUAAUACGAUUUUGAUGUACCACACUCUGUUACAGAGCAUCGGUGCUGCUGAAGCAGUUUUGUGACAAGGGUUAUACUGGGUGGUUUGCCAUUGCCUUCCCAGCAGUAGUUAUGACAGGAAUUUGGCCAGGUUGCCAGAGAUAGCUCAUCUACUCUUUAUGAAAGACAUCAUAGGAUGUUUAACGUCCAUCAAUUAAUGCUGACGGACAUGACACCCAGUUUAACAUCCAUCCAAACGACAGCACACCCAUUUAUGAAUCACCCUGCCUGUGAAACGCAGUUGAUAGUUGGGUCGGGAUUCAAACCCAGGAGAGACAGGUUUGUGGUGGGUGUGGGUACCUCUAUGCCAUCUUGCCACCCAUGGUUUUAAUAUCAGGUAAAUAAUGCUUAAAUAAACUUUGUGGGAGUGAAGCAUUCCUAAUUUUGUAAAAGAGUAGGGCGAUGUCGGCCGACCGUGUUCACCGCAUUUACAGUUUGUU